UGGGGGAUAUUGCACAAUGGGCGAAAGCCUGAUGCAGCGACGCCGCGUGGGGGAUGAAGGCUUUCGGGUUGUAAACCUCUUUCGCUAUCGAACAAGGCCCGCUUAGGGUGGGUUGAGGGUAGGUGGAGAAGAAGCGCCGGCUAACUACGUGCCAGCAGCCGCGGUAAUACGUAGGGCGCGAGCGUUGUCCGGAAUUAUUGGGCGUAAAGGGCUUGUAGGCGGGUUGUUGCGCCUGCUGUGAAAACGCGGGGCUUAACUUCGCGCGUGCAGUGGGUGCGGGCAGGCUUGAGUGUGGGAGGAGUGACUGGAAUUCCAGGUGUAGCGGUGGAAUGCGCAGAUAUCUGGAGGAACACCGAUGGCGAAGGCAGGUCACUGGGCCAUUACUGACGCUGAGGAGCGAAAGCAUGGGUAGCGAACAGG
rnacentral:rRNA from 1 species